UACGUAGGGCGCAAGCGUUAUCCGGAAUUAUUGGGCGUAAAGAGCUCGUAGGCGGUUUGUCGCGUCUGCCGUGAAAGUCCGGGGCUCAACUCCGGAUCUGCGGUGGGUACGGGCAGACUAGAGUGAUGUAGGGGAGACUGGAAUUCCUGGUGUAGCGGUGAAAUGCGCAGAUAUCAGGAGGAACACCGAUGGCGAAGGCAGGUCUCUGGGCAUUAACUGACGCUGAGGCACGAAAGCCAGGGGAGCGAACGGG
rnacentral:rRNA from 1 species